GCCGCCGCCGCCGCCGCCGCCGCCAUCACACGCCGCUUCCGGCUCCUGCUCGUGACGUUCUUUGCGGCGGCCCCGGGGGCAUGUCCGGCCAGCCCAGUGCAUUUCGGGAGCUGUAGUCCCGCUCGUCUCCGCCCAGCAAGACGGAGGAGGGGCGUCCCAGCGCGCGAGACGCGGCUGCGUCAUGACCUUUUACAUCUUCUUGACUAGCUGGAGCCAAGAUUCCCUGUUCUACCUAUUAAAGAUAACAGAUUCCUGACCUCCUCUGCACCUCAUCGCCCUAAAGAAAUCAACUUUUGUCCGAAAGUUCUGAAUGUAGCAGAAAUAAAAGUCUAAAACCUCCUGCA